rnacentral:rRNA from 1 species
GACGAGCGCUGGCGGCGUGCCUAAUACAUGCAAGUAGAACGCUGAAGAGAGGAGCUUGCUCUUCUUGGAUGAGUUGCGAACGGGUGAGUAACGCGUAGGUAACCUGCCUUGUAGCGGGGGAUAACUAUUGGAAACGAUAGCUAAUACCGCAUAACAAUGGAUGACCCAUGUCAUUUAUUUGAAAGGGGCAAAUGCUCCACUACAAGAUGGACCUGCGUUGUAUUAGCUAGUAGGUGAGGUAACGGCGCACCUAGGCGACGAUACAUAGCCGACCUGAGAGGGUGAGCGCCCACGCUGGGACGGAGACACGGCCCAGACUCCUGCGAGAGGCAGCAGUAGGGAAUCUCCAGCAAUGGGGGCAACCGUGACCGAGCAACGCCGCGUGAGUGCAGAAGGUUUUCGGAUCGUGAAGCUCUGUUGUAAGUCAAGAACGAGUGUGAGAGUGGAAAGUGCACACUGUGACGGUAGCUUACCAGAAAGGGACGGCUAACUACGUG